AGUAUCUCGCAACAAGAUAGAAAUUAAAAAAGACAAAGAAUCGAGAAACGAAGCAAUGCAGCAAAGAAUCACAAAAUUCGAACCAAGAGAUAUAAAUAUCUCUUCUUACCGAAAUAUCUUUUUUUUUUGUGCCUUGUUCAGU
rnacentral:ribozyme from 1 species